AAAUUGAAAAAGAACUUAUUGAUGAGGCACUUUCUGCAUCUGACCUGGUAACAGUUAGCUUGGUUCUAUUGGAAGCGCAGAUAAGAAUAAACGAAUCCAAUCUUAAAAUGGAGUUAUUGUCAAAAGCAACAAGUGAAAUGGCUCAAGAAAUAGACUCCCUUAUCAACGCACAGUGAAGAUGAAUUAUUAGAGAAAUGAUUAUCAUCAAAAUUUGCAUUAUAUGAUUGGGAAUGAACCUCGUUAAAUUAAUUUAG